AUUGAACGCUGGCGGUAUGCUUAACACAUGCAAGUCGAACGGUAACAGGCCUUCGGGCGCUGACGAGUGGCGGACGGGUGCGUAACGCGUAGGAAUCUGCCUGGUAGUGGGGGACAACUUGGGGAAACUCAAGCUAAUACCGCAUACGCCCUACGGGGGAAAGCGGGGGAACUUCGGGCCUCGCGCGAUCACAUGAGCCUGCGUUGGAUUAGCUGGUUGGUAGGGUAAAGGCCCACCAAGGCGACGAUCCAUAGCUGGUCUGAGAGGACGAUCAGCCACACUGGGACUGAGACACGGCCCAGACUCCUACGGGAGGCAGCAGUGGGGAAUAUUGGACAAUGGGCGCAAGCCUGAUCCAGCAAUACCGCGUGUGUGAAGAAGGCCUGAGGGUUGUAAAGCACUUUUAAUCGGGAGGAAAACCUGUCGGCGAAUACCCGGCGGCUUGACAUUACCGAUAGAAAAAGCACCGGCUAACUCCGUGCCAGCAGCCGCGGUAACAC
rnacentral:rRNA from 1 species